rnacentral:lncRNA from 1 species
AUACAUAUAAAAUAUUAUUUUUUUUCUUAUAAAUUAAUAUGGAAUAUUAUGGUGAAGCCGUGAACACAUUAAUUAUUUUAAUAAACAGAGAAAACAAUAUUUAUAUUGGAGAGGAAAUGGGAGAUGUUUAGAGAUAAGCUCUAACCACAGUUCAAAUCAAUCAACCUAAAUUGCAUUGUUCAUCAUCAUCAUCUCCAUUGCCCUUCUAGUGACGCAUACCAUCAUCCUUUAGCCCUCUAACAAACCUUGUUUUGAUAAUCCUUUGGCCAUUUUAUGCGGGUUUUAGUUGACAUAAUCUCUUUAUUGUGGUUAGAUAGAGUUUUUUGUGUGUGUGUAGAAUUAGAAUAUGAAAUUUACAGUAGUUUUGAUCUUUCAGUAACUGCAUUAGUCACUCAUUUCAUAAAUGUAAAAGAAGAACCCAAUAUGAACAAGUUGACAUUCUCAAACCUAAACAUUUUAUCCCCAUCAAAACUGCAUGAUAUCAAAUGGGACUUUUAUAAUAAAAUACACACUCAUUAAUGAAAGGAGGGGAAGAGUACUACGUAACUAACUCAAAAUACAUUUAAACUUGAUAUGUAUUUUUACAUCAUGGCUAGGAUACACUUAUAUAGGAUUCAAA